UACGGAGGGAGCUAGCGUUGUUCGGAAUUACUGGGCGUAAAGCGCACGUAGGCGGCUUUGUAAGUUAGAGGUGAAAGCCCGGGGCUCAACUCCGGAACUGCCUUUAAGACUGCAUCGCUUGAAUCCGGGAGAGGUGAGUGGAAUUCCGAGUGUAGAGGUGAAAUGCGUAGAUAUCAGGAAGAACAUCGGUGGCGAAGGCGCUCUGCUGGACCAUAACUGACACUCAGGGACGAAAGCUAGGGGAGCGAAUGGG
rnacentral:rRNA from 1 species